UGAGGCCUGCAGGUGGGCCUCCCAAACCACGUCUGGUGCUGCUAAGUGCGCAGGCACUUUUCAAAAAAUGGCUGAACAGGGCAGUUGUGUGCAAGGAAGCAGAUUUCGGCCAGACAUUAGGAAGGACUUCUUAACUGGAAGAGCUAUUUGACAGUGGAGCCAUCUGCUUCGUGCAGUGGUUGGUUCUCCGUCACCAGAGGUGCUGGACGGGUUUCCUGCUCUGAGGAAGGCGUUGAAGAACUCCAAGGGGGAAAAAAAAAAGAAGAGCUGCAAUGGGUUACAGAUGAUUUAGCUUUUAAUUAGAUCUCCUCUGCUCCAAGCUGACAACUUCAUUUACAGACAUCACAAAAACUUCAGAGACUGCCACAAAGACAGCACUGAAAACUCAAGUUUCCUCCAGAUUAACUCUGGAGUCAGCCCAAAGAUUUGCAAACCAGACCAGGGACAGUUGACAAGAAUUACUGGACUUAGUGACAGACACUGUGGGAAAGGUGAGGGUCACCUCCAGUACAGGUGGGAUGACAAGGAGAAGCAGGACCGACAUGAAUAGUUGCUCCACCGAUGGAUACCAGCAGAGAUAAAAGUUGCUAAUUUUUCUGGGAGGACUUUGGAUAUAUCUUUGGGAGAACACCACUUCUCAAAAUAAGCCACUGAAGACAACCGAUUUCAGGUCGAAACACAUCUGGCUGCUGGCUCUUAUGGAAACUAAGGACUCUUUCCCUAUAAGGAAUCAAUUUAUUUCUCCUUGAUGACUGACUUGAUGACUGAUUUGGAUUUAUGCCACCUUUGUGUAACAUUACAAAUCUUUCCAUAAUUAUUUAUAAUUUUAGCUACAGUGAGUGUGAAAGCUAUCUAAGAUUUGUUAUAUGGUGUAUAUAUUAACUAAGGUGUGGCAAGGACAGUUUUUAUGAAUAGAUUGCGACAUACUUUUU